rnacentral:lncRNA from 1 species
CUGAAAAGGAAUGCUUGGCGAGGAAAUGACCCCUGGAAACACUACCAGAUGGCUCCCCGGGGAGCCAGUUUGGUUUGGCAACAGAUCAGAAUCACCAACCUGGGCUAGUCACACUGGACGGGGCAGGAUCCACGGAGCUUUGGGGCAGGACAGCUGUCCUCUUUUCUAGAUGUGAAUGCAAGCAUCUACUUCUAAACUUCAAAUCGUCAAUGUGGCAAAACCAGCCAUGGGUUCCUGGCUGCAGUUCUAGAUCGUGCAGAAACAAUCCUCAUCACUACUAGAUUCUUAGCCUGCCACGACCAAGACCACACAUUGCAAUUCCAAUCAACCGGAAUUUCUCUUCUCAAAGUUCAGUGACUGGAAGUAGGAAAACAAGGCGUGACCAGAGUUGUUUCUUUCCGAGAGCAUCAAUGAAGAAGGCCUUUUCUACGGGUUUCUGCCUGUUGCAGGUUGAACGACAUCUCUAUAAAAUUCUUAUUUUGAAAUCCC